GUGCUCAAUUUGGCAGCACACAUGCUAAAAUUGGAAUGACACAGAAAAGAUUAACAUGGGCCCUGCACAAGGAUGAAUGCAAAUUUGUGAAGCAUUCUAUAUUUUU